AAACUUACCUGGCUGGGGGUUUUCCGCGAUCAUGAAGGCGGAAUCCCCAUGGCGAGGCCUGUCCAUUGCACUUUUGGAGAUUCGCCAACAGCUCAGUUUUUGCGUAACGCGACUGCGUGCGCGCGGUCCUGG
rnacentral:snRNA from 1 species